AGCGAACGCUGGCGGCGUGCCUAACACAUGCAAGUCGAACGUGAAAGGGAGCAAUCCCAAGUAAAGUGGCGUACGGGUGAGUAACACGUAGGUAAUCUACCCCAGAAUCUGGAAUAGCCGGCCGAAAGGCUGGCUAAUACUGGAUAGAGCGACGGAAUCCGUAAUUGGGUUUUUCGGGAAAGGGAGCCUGUAAAAAGGCCUUCGUUCUGGGAUGAGCCUGCGUCCCAUCAGCUAGUUGGUGAGGUAAAAGCUUACCAAGGCAAUGACGGGUAGCUGGUCUGGGAGGACGAUCAGCCCCACUGGAACUGAAACACGGUCCAGACUCCUACGGGAGGCAGCAGUGGGGAAUCUUGCGCAAUGGACGAAAGUCUGACGCAGCAACGCCGCGUGAGUGAAGAAGGCCUUCGGGUUGUAAAGCUCUGUCGAGUGGGACGAAAAUGCUUGGAGUUCACAGCUCCAGGAACUGACGGUACCACUAAAGGAAGCACCGGCUAACUCCGUG
rnacentral:rRNA from 1 species